AGCUCCAAUAGCAUAUGUUAAAGUUGUUGCGGUUAAAAAGCUCGUAGUUGGAUCUCGGCGGGGCCGUCGCGGUUCGCUCUCUGGCGUGACUGCGGUUUGUUCAGGCCCCGCGUGUUGGGUGGAUCCCCUUGCGGGUGCUCUUAACCGAGUGUCCCAAGGUCCCACCCGGUUGACUUUGAAAAAAUUAGAGUGCUCCAGGCAGGCCUGACACGCCUGAAUAGUCGUGCAUGGAAUGAUGGAAUAGGACGUCGAUUCUGUUCUGUUGGUUCUCAAGAAUUGGACGUAAUGAUUGACAGGGACGGUCGGGGGCAUUGGUAUUCCGGCGCUAGAGGUGAAAUUCUUGGACCGCCGGAAGACCCACCACUGCGAAAGCAUUUGCCAAGAAUGUUUUCA
rnacentral:rRNA from 1 species